AAAAUUCUGAUUUCUGACAGAUUUAUUAUAAACGCGUCUUGUGCAAACUUAUUUACUAAAGGAUGUUAUUUGAAUUGUAAAACUUUUUGGUUUUUGAAAUUAUAGGGCCAAUAGAGGUCUCAUUGUACCUCUUGUUACAUCGAUGACCAUUUUACAAUUUAUUUAUUUUUUAAACAAACGCAGUGAAAUUAACGCAUUUAAAAAUUAUCAUCUAAUUAAAUAUUGCGGGAAAUGAAACUUUUGACCAACAUUCUGUGAUUUGGUGUUCACUUUUUUAAUUAUUAGUUUUUGCAGUCAGAAAAUAGUAGAAAACAUUUUGUUUAGACUCACAGGCACUUCGCUCUGAAUGUUUUUUUACCAAUAUUAUUCAAUAUUAUAAAAGUAUAUUGGUAAAAACAUUUUCAAAGACAAGUGACUAUGCUUAGUGCUCAUUUUUUUUUACAUAAAUAAGGCCGUUAGUUUUCUCGUUUGAUUUUUUUUACAUUGUCUUAUAUCGGGGCCUUUUAUAGCUGACUAUGCGGUAUGGACUUUACUCAUUGUUGAAGGCCCUAUGGUGAACUAUAGGUGUUAAUGUCUGUGUCAUUUUGGUCUUUUGUGGAUAGUUGUCUCAUUGGCAAUCAUACCACAUCUUCUUUUUUAUAUUUAGACUAUAAACUUGUUCUUUCUUAUGGUGUGAUCGUGUACCCAGAAGUAUACAUGUUGUUUUCUGUUAUCAUCACUAUACUAUUACUGGGACCAGUAUAUCUAACAUCAACAUAUGUGUUCCUGGUCGGCUGUCGACUACUUUAUAGUUUACAAAUAUUUAAUUCUUUGAUACUUAUUUCUAUUAAAAUUUUUGGAGCGAUGCAAUGUACUGUAAAAUGUACUAUUAUAAUAUUACUUUCUUUUUAAUUGAAAACCGUUUGCCUUUAAGUACGUCUGCUUAAAUACAAUCACACCAAUUUCCAUAUGCUCUGACCAAAUUUAAUAACCAGUUACUUUGAUUGAAAAGAUUGAAAGUUGAUGACCUGUUCUAAAAUUCCAUUGUUUUGAUGUCGUUGUUCUCAAAAAGUUGUUUGUGGGAAGGUCAACACAAUGUACUGGGUUCUGUUGACACCGUAAACAAAACGACAAUGAGCAACACUGCUGAGAAAUAGAACCGUAUCAUUACAUAUUGUAAGAAUGUAAAUCAUUUUCAUUUUCUUUUUAUCUUUUGACAAUAUUUACCACAUGGAUAGUGUCAUGGCUUUGUAUAAACCAACAAUGAAAUUUUGAAAGAAGACAAAGUUUGUUGAGAAAAAAAAGAGAAAUGUACGUAAAUAAUGGCAUAAAAGAAGAUAUGUUGUUCAAUUUAAACUUAUGUUAUCAUAAAAUAUCAGGUAGAUUUAUUAAAUAAUUUAUUGACGUAAAUGUACUUUUGUUA
rnacentral:lncRNA from 1 species